rnacentral:misc_RNA from 1 species
CAGAGUAUUACACUCCCUAACCCAUCGUGAACAUACCUUUUGUUGCUUCGGCGGUGCCGCCCCCGGAGCCCUUCGGGGCCCGGAUCAGGCGCCCGCCGGAGGCCCCAAACCUCUGAAUUACCAUUGUGGAAACUCUGAGUGGCGAAAGCAAAAAACGAAUCA